rnacentral:misc_RNA from 1 species
CGGGUUCUGCCCGGCACGAGCCGUUCGAACAUCCCUGAGGCUAUAAGCAAUCCAAGGGGGCUGUCCCUGGUUGGACCCUGGUCCGGCACAUAUGGUCCCCACCUGACGUUGAGGCGUCAGAGGAUUUCUAGGAAAACGACCCACGGUGGACCCGUC